rnacentral:rRNA from 1 species
UACGUAGGGGGCAAGCGUUUGUCCGGAAUCAUUGGGCGUAAAGCGCGUGUAGGCGGCUCGAAAAGUCUGGUGUGAAAACUUUCGGCUCAACCGGAAGCUGUCACUGGAUACUGUCGAGCUUGAGUCCGGAAGAGGAGUGUGGAAUUCCUGGUGUAGCGGUGGAAUGCGCAGAUAUCAGGAGGAACACCAAUGGCGAAGGCAGCACUCUGGUACGUGACUGACGCUGAGACGCGAAAAGCGUGGGGGAGCAAAACAGG